CAACGGCGUCUCACACCAAAUCCUUAGCUCGUUAACAUAUGUUAACACGUGUGGGAAAUAUUAAAAAAAGAAGGAAUGGUAAGGAUCAAUCCUUAAAUAAGGGGUUUACGGAUCGAGUCCGUAUCGACGUGGCAUCUAGUCAUUGGGCCGAGCAACGUAACGAAUCCGUACCCCUUCGACUUCGCAGUCACCUUGUCGAGGAUCAAUAAUCUCCGAUUUCAUCCUUCCGCCGAAGUCCCGCCGCAUCACCAGCGAGUUUAUCUGGCCGGAUCCAAAAAAUUCGAAGAAGAAGUCGAAGAAGCGAUCCAGUUUCUUCGAUCUGGACGAAGAAUUCGAGGCUGAUUUCAAAGGGUUCAAGGAUGAUGAUUAUUCUUCUUUUGACUGCGAAGAUGUAACCUUCGCGGAUGUGAAGAAGCCCUUUUUCUUCACUGCACCUACCAAACUCGUAGCUUCCCGUCCAACCACCUUUGCCACCACUGCUAUGGUUCAUGAGAAGAAUCUUUUGUAGCUUGAAUCCAUAAAAAAUCAGUCAAAGAUGAAACCCAAUUCUUCUGUUCUCUGUAAACGCUAGCUCUCAGUUCUGUGGAGUAGCGGAGAUGAUAGGACCUGUGGAUUUUGAGAAGAGCGUUGAUUACUGGCAACAAGACAAAUGGAACGGACAGUUCCCGGUGAAGUGGCACACCAUCAAAGACGUUCCAAACAGUCAGUUCCGCCACAUUAUAUUGGAGAACAAUGACAAUAAGCCUGUGACGAACACUCGAGACACUCAAGAAGUGAAACUAGAAGGCAUUGAGAUGCUGAAGAUUUUCAAGAACUACGAUGCUGAGACUUCAAUCUUGGAUGAUUUUGGGUUUUAUGAAGAGAGGGAGAAGAUAAUUCAAGAACGGAAGGCAAGAAGGCAGCCAAGCUUGCCAUCUACAGGAGAGUAGGAGAAAACGAACAUAAACCCGCUGCUGCUGCUGCAUUGCAGACAGACUUUAUCAAGAACAUGUCUAAAAGUUUUGCUCAAGUCGUCCGCUUGGAGGAGGGAAGUUUUACACUGUGUUAUAAAUUUCAUGGUAUUCAGUUUCCAGCUUCAUAGAUUUCACUGUUGUUAUGUUUUAGGAUUUUGUAUCAAUCGCUGAAAAUUGUUGGGUUUUGUGGUUUUGUUACAAAA